AUUUCCAUUCUCCUGACAUUCUUGCAGCAAAGAUCAGGCACCCCCUCAGAAAGCAAUUUGGAAUUUUAACAAGACUUCAGAGAGAGACAAGCUCAAAACGGCAUGGACUUCUAUCAGCAAACUGACCCCUGAAUACUUCUGUCAACUUAUUGCAAAAUGAUACUAUUUUUACUGCAAUAUGCAACUGUGCCAAUGGAAAAUAGAAGGAAGAAAAAAUAUAUUGUCUGGCACUGGUUGCCAUAGCAACAAGCUGAAGUUCAAGGGGAAGUGGAGAAUCUGAAUUCUGUGGCAAGGUAUGCUGUCAACCACUAUAAUAAACCCAUCCGUACAAGCUGAAAAAAACCAACCAGGUACAUUUUUUUGUCAAGUCAUUUUUCUGCAAGAGGCAUUCUUGAUGCAGAUCACUGUAUGACUGUAGAAAUUGGCUUGGAUCAACUGCAGGAGUAGUUGAAAGGGUGACAACAUGUGCGAUAUUGUCACCAAACCCACUGUCACGUCAAAUCAUAGCCUCAAGCAAAAGAGUGGAAGAUCUGAUUACAACCCAGAUCUCAUCAUGGCUGAGAUUUCCACGAAUUGUGGAGGAGGCUACAUGCCUACAGCAGCUUUGUGAAUCAACCCCAGGAUAUUCUUUACAUACCUGUGACAAUAAAAAAGAAAUAGUUUCAUCUGGUUUGGGGUGGGAUUUUUUUUAAUUAUGUACAUUCCUAUCAGUCUUAACUGAAGGUUUUAUCACUUUUUUUUUCUUGCUUCAGUUACCAAAGAAAAAGCCUUGUUUAUAGUACCUAAAAGAUAUGUGACCUCUUCUCUGAAAAAAAUCUGUCUUUGACUAGCUCCAUAACAGUUUCCACAGCUCAUUAACUCUUCUGUGCAAAUUUAUUUAUGAGCACAAACUAUUCCCCCUCCCUAUGAGUUCUCUCCAGAAAGUAGGGGAAGAGAGACUAACACUGGAAGGACUCAUUGGAUGAAUGAUUGGGGUCUAUUUGCCAUUUGCAGAAAUAUAAGCUGCAUGUUUGUGCUGUCCUCAUUCAUCUGAGAAAUAUUCAUUUGCGCUAGUAAUUCCAUUGAAGUAAUUACUGUUUGAGGAGCCAGAGCAUGUUAUCUAGCCAAUUCCCCUCACAAGCCACAGUGCACAGCUGCAAAGCUCCAGGAGAGCUCUGAAAGGCAUCCUGAAACUUCAUGCUAGUGGCAGGAGGGAAAGGGAGGACACCUGGCCCUUCUGGCAUUCACCGAGGAAUGACUGGUUAUGUGCAGAGAGUGGGGAAGUGGGAGGAGAAACAGGGUUACAGUCAGUUUGUUUAUCCUUCCAUUUAAUCUUCAGUCACCUCUAAGGGAUAUUUAUGAUCUGUUGAUUUUUUGAGCUGUUGAAGAUGGUAAGGAAGCCAUGAGUGACUAGUUUUCCUUGUUCCUUUAAUGGAUUCUGGAUGUCAAAGUCUGCUUUCCUUGCUCCUUUCCAUGGCUAAUUCCUCUCCUCUGAAAGGAAUCUUCUCUACCAGCAGACCAGUUUAUCUCCCUUUCCAUGAAGACUGUUCCCACUACACAAACUAGUUAAGGCGGAGGUAGUUCAGCUGCAUAAAACGCAACACUGUGAUCUGCAGCAGGAGCCAAUCUUGCUCCUGAAGAUCUCAAAGCCAUGUGCUUCUUGCCAUUCCUGGAAGAGCAGAGGCAGACUGGAAAAGCUUGAUGGAACUUUAUCCCAGAAAUCCCUUCUAAAAGAGUCCGUCCACACCAUGUAUGCCCUAAACUUAAGCAGAGCUGCACUAGCUUGGCAGGGCCACAUCUCUGCAGAACUCAUUAUCAGCAGUACCACUUGUGACUAGAUAGGACUGACUUAUAAUCACUCUCUUAGUUGUCAAGGACUGUACAGGACCAUGGCAUACAAGAAGGGGGUACGGACCCAGAGAGAUGGUAGGUCCCCUGUCCCUUGAAACAUUCAAGGCCAGGCUGGACAGGACUCUGAGCAACCUGAUCUAGUUGAAGAUGUUCCUGCUCAUUGCAGGGGGGUUGGACUAGAUGACCUUUAGAGGUCCCUUCCAACCCAAACUAUUAAUCUAAUAUUCUAUGACCCCAGUGCUACCCCUGUGGGUUCAGUUCUUCCCAGAGAAGCUGAAGAAGGUGACCCAAGAAAUGCUGUUCAGGUUGUAGAAAACCAACAAUCAGAGAGGAUAGAUAACCCUGACCUACAGACUGAAGAAUAAGGGAUGGGAAAUGUGUGCAGAGGUACGAAGCUGAACAGGCAGCUUCAGUGUUGGCACUUCCUAACAUUUUAGUAUAUGGCUUUGAAAUAUAGCAGUCAUUUUAUCUAAUUCAUGUACACAAAAUAAAUUGUUGAAAAUAACAA